AAGACUAUACUUUCAGGGUUCAUUUCUAUAGUUCAUUACUAGACAAGUUUCUCUGUAUGUGUAGAGCACUGAAAACCACGAGGAGGAGGCACAGCGUUCUCACCUGAGCGUAAAGCUGGCUCUUGGUGCUGCUUUGUCGUAACUGCCAUUCGCCAUUGAUGAUCAUUAUUUCUCUCCUUUCAGGAGAGUAAGAAGAGAAAGCAGCCUGAGUAGC